AACGGCCAUACCAUGCUGAAUAUACCGGUCCUCGUUAGAUCACCGAAGUCAAGCAUCAUUGGGCGCGGUCAGUACUUGGGUGGGUGACCACCUGGGAACACCGCGUGCCGUU
rnacentral:rRNA from 1 species